GAAGAGGAGGAUGAGGAGGAGGAGGAGGAAGAGCUGGAGUCCUGUUCAGAGAUUGGGAGAGUAACAUUAUGAUGAAAAUCUGCUAUGAAGAAGAGGAGGAGGAGGAAGAGGAAGAACUGGAGUCCUAUUCAGAGAUUGGGAGAAUAAUACAAAACACUGAUACCUGACUGCACAAAUAGAUUACUGGAUUACACAAGCAACAAAGGAAAAAUAACAAACCUUCUUCUUCUUCUUCUUCUUCUUUUUCUUCUUCUUCACUUUCUUCUUCUUUUUCUUUUCAUCAUCACUAUCAGAUGAGGAAGAGGAGGAAGAAGAACUGGAGUCCUGUUAAGACAAUUUUUAGGAACAAACACAAGUCAUUACAUAAUAAUAAUAAUCAUAAUAAUAAUAAUAAUAAUAAUGCAUCCAAUUUAUGUAGGUCAUGGAAGAUGUCAGAAAAUUGGGACCGCAGAAUUAAAUACUGUAUUGGAUAAUACAAGAGGUACAAAUGCAAACCUUCUUCUUUUUCUUCUUCUUUUUCUUUUUCUUCUUUUUCUUCUUGUCAUCAUCACUGUCAGAAGAUGAUGACGAUGAAGAAGAAGAAGAAGAACUGGAGUCCUGUUAAUACAGUUUAAGUAUAAUAAGUACGUAUAAUAAACCAACUCACAAUAAAUAAAAUAAAGUCAAUACAAGAGGGAUAACGCACCUUCUUUUUCUUCUUCUUCUUUUUCUUCUUCUUUUUCUUCUUUUUGUCAUCAUCACUUUCUGAGGAAGAGCUAUCAGAAGACGAAGAAGAGGAGGA